GAUGAACGCUGGCGGCGUGCUUAACACAUGCAAGUCGAACGGAAAGGCCCGGCUUUUGUGGGGUGCUCGAGUGGCGAACGGGUGAGUAACACGUGAGUAACCUGCCCUUGACUGUGGGAUAACUUCAGGAAACUGGGGCUAAUACCGGAUAGGAGCUCCUGCUGCAUGGUGGGGGUUGGAAAGUUUCGGCGGUUGGGGAUGGACUCGCGGCUUAUCAGCUUGUUGGGGGGGUAGUGGCUUACCAAGGCUUUGACGGGUAGCCGGCCUGAGAGGGUGACCGGCCACCUUGGGACUGAGGUACGGCCCAGACUCCUACGGGAGGCAGCAGUGGGGAAUAUUGCACAAUGGGCGGAAGCCUGAUGCAGCGACGCCGCGUGCGGGAUGACGGCCUUCGGGUUGUAAACCGCUUUCGCCUGUGACGAAGCGUGAGUGACGGUAACGGAUAAAGAAGCACCGGCUAACUACGUG
rnacentral:rRNA from 1 species